GUGUGGAAUAUUGGACAAUGGGCGCAAGCCUGAUCCAGCCAUGCCGCGUGCAGGAAGACGCAUCUAUGGUGUGUAAACUGCUUUUGUACGGGAAGAAACACUCCCUCGUGAGGGAGCUUGACGGUACCGUAAGAAUAAGGAUCGGCUAACUCCGUGCCAGCAGCCGCGGUAAUACGGAGGAUCCAAGCGUUAUCCGGAAUCAUUGGGUUUAAAGGGUCCGUAGGCGGUUUAAUAAGUCAGUGGUGAAAGCCCAUCGCUCAACGAUGGAACGGCCAUUGAUACUGUUAGACUUGAAUUACAAGGAAGUAACUAGAAUAUGUAGUGUAGCGGUGAAAUGCUUAGAUAUUACAUGGAAUACCAAUUGCGAAGGCAGGUUACUACUUGUGGAUUGACGCUGAUGGACGAAAGCGUGGGGAGCGAACAGGAUUAGAUACCCGAGUAGUCC
rnacentral:rRNA from 1 species